GACGAACGCUGGCGGCGUGCUUAACACAUGCAAGUCGAACGCUGAAGCCCAGCUUGCUGGGUGGAUGAGUGGCGAACGGGUGAGUAACACGUGGGUAACCUGCCCUGUACUUUGGGAUAAGCCCUGGAAACGGGGUCUAAUACCGAAUAUGACUUCCGCAGGCAUCUGUGGGGGUGGAAAGUUUCGGCGGUACGGGAUGGGCCCGCGGCCUAUCAGCUUGUUGGUGGGGUGAUGGCCUACCAAGGCGACGACGGGUAGCCGGCCUGAGAGGGUGUCCGGCCACACUGGGACUGAGACACGGCCCAGACUCCUACGGGAGGCAGCAGUGGGGAAUAUUGCACAAUGGGCGGAAGCCUGAUGCAGCGACGCCGCGUGAGGGAUGACGGCCUUCGGGUUGUAAACCUCUUUCGCCAGGGACGAAGCGUAAGUGACGGUACCUGGAGAAGAAGCACCGGCUAACUAC
rnacentral:rRNA from 1 species